rnacentral:rRNA from 2 species
CAUUGGUGCUUGCACCAGAUGACGAGUGGCGCACGGGUGCGUAACGCGUAUGCAAUCUACCUUUUACUAGAGUAUAGCCCAGAGAAAUUUGGAUUAAUCCUCUAUAAUAUCUUUAAGUUUCAUGACUUUUAGAUUAAAGUUUUAACGGUAAAAGAUGAGCAUGCGUCCUAUUAGUUUGUAGGUGAGGUAACGGCUCACCUAGACUACGAUAGGUAGGGGCCCUGAGAGGGGGAUCCCCCACACUGGUACUGAGACACGGACCAGACUCCUACGGGAGGCAGCAGUAAGGAAUAUUGGACAAUGGACGAAAGUCUGAUCCAGCCAUGCCGCGUGCAGGAUGAAAGCCCUAUGGGUUGUAAACUGCUUUUAUACAGGAAGAAACACUCGUACGUGUACGAGCUUGACGGUACUGUAAGAAUAAGGACCGGCUAACUCCGUGCCAGCAGCCGCGGUAAUACGGAGGGUCCGAGCGUUAUCCGGAAUCAUUGGGUUUAAAGGGUCCGCAGGCGGUCUUUUAAGUCAGAGGUGAAAGCCUACAGCUCAACUGUAGAACGGCCUUUGAUACUGAAAGACUUGAGUUAUUAUGAAGUGGUUAGAAUGUGUGGUGUAGCGGUGAAAUGCAUAGAUAUCACACAGAAUACCGAUUGCGAAGGCAGAUCACUAAUAAUAUACUGACGCUCAUGGACGAAAGCGUGGGGAGCGAACAGGAUUAGAUACCCUGGUAGUCCACGCCGUAAACGAUGGAUACUAGCUGUUCGUCUAACAUUGGUUAGAUGAGUGGCUAAGCGAAAGUGAUAA